UCCCUGGUGGUCCAGUGGUUAGGACUUGGUGCUUUUAUUGCCGUGGGCCCAGGUUUGAUCCCUGGUUGGAGAA